UAGUAGAAUUAUGGUGCAAAUGGAGAAAUGGGCGCAAUGCCCAAUGGCCUUGGAUUUGUAGGCUGGGGGUGUAACUGACAAGGCAAUAAUGCAGAGAGCAUAUUGAAUGGGCUAGGGCCCUAAGGCCCAACUCCAAACACACAUGAGGGGAUUCACGCUCAUUUUCCAAAUAACCAUGUUCAGAUCACAAAAGAUGGCCAAACUAACCACAAUCGGACCUCUUCUCCUCCGUCGCGCCGGCAUCGCCUCCAACGGCGAUGGAGAGCCAAACAUAAAACUAAAUCCACCAUCCGAACCACCUCUAACUCUAAAUUCCAAAUCUAUCAACCAUUGAACCUAAUUCCAAAUCUAACAAUCAAAUCGAAACAGAAUAUGCACAAAACCUAAUCUACAAAACCAGAAAUUAAAUGAAGAUAACGAUGAAUCAAAGCCUCUCAUGAGAGGUAUUUGAUCCCAGGAACCAUGAACUACAUCCUACUAUCAUCCUCGAAGCCAAACAAAGCAGAAUAGAGCACCUAACUACCAGAGGAGAUGACAGAUACGGCGACGACGACAACGAAAUCCACAUGUUCCCAUUAGUGAACGGUUUAGAAACUGGUUCGAAAUGCCCGAUGGAAUGUUUGUUGCAGGUGAUAACUUGCUGCAGAGUUACUGGUUUGUGACACUUCUUGACAUGGUUUCUGUAGGAUCAUUUGAUAGCUCUUGUUGCAGUCGCUUGGCUUGGUUAUGCAUUGGCAGAUGGGUUCUGACUUACUUAUGGUUUUCACUGCAGUCUUAUGUUCAGUUUAUGUGCAGGUAUGAUGCACAGGGUUGUGGCUUCAUGUGAUAUGGCUUACAUCUCUUGACAUGUUCUGUGUUUCAAUUUUGACUUGUAUCCAUGUAUAACGACCAUGGUUUUAUGAACUGGUUCAGCAUGUGCGCAUUCCUUUGACUCUGCCUAGCUUCACAUAGUUCUACAAGUAUGGCUUGUGGUCUUGUUGGUUCUGCAAUGCACUACAUUCCUGACUUGGUUCGCAUCAUGGUUGCAGCUUGUAAUAUUGUGAAAUGGUUCUGCAUCAUGCUUAUUUUAUAGUAGGUAUGUUCAUUGUAAUUUUGACUUUGGUUUAAGCAUGUGUUGGCAAUGGUUCAUACAUGUAUGAAUCAUGUGCAUUUCUUGGCCUAUGUUUCUGACUUGUGUUGUUGGGUGGUCUUGUGUUCAGUUCAUGCUGACAAUGGUUCUGUAGUAGGUUUUCUCUUAGACUUCAUGUUUUUGCAGUAGGUAUGAGUGCAUGAUCUUGACUUGUCUCAUGUGUUAAUGGACUGCAUGGCUUGAUGGCAACUUGGCAUGUUCUACACUGCUUCAUAUUUGUGACUAGAGGAUUUAUUCUGAUUUGAGCUUUUGCAUCAUGCUUUGCCAAUAUUUCAUACUAGCUUCAUGUCAUGUGUUCACUUAUUUAGUUAGGUCUCUUGUAAGUCAUGUGCAUAUGGUAAUAAUGGUUGAACGAUGCAACAUGAUGACAUUAAGAUCGAAAUUUGGGAGCAUCAUGUACAAAUGGCAAACUCAAGGAUCAAGGAUCAAACUUAGGAUUAGAAAUAGGAUUGGGAUUUAAGGUUUUAGGAUGAAAAUGGAUUGAGUUGACUUUGUUUAAAGUUGACCAAAGUUAACACUUGGUCAAAGUUGCCAAAUUUUGUAAUUUUUUCAUGUAAUGAACAUUUGUAUGAUUAUGGAAUGAAUGGAAUUGACUAUUUUGAAUGAAA